ACUAGCUAACUCAGAGCUUGCUAAUGAGAGCUUGGCUCUUCGUUUCCAGGUGCAAUGGCUUGAGGCUGGGGCGACCGCGACCUGCUGCAGUCGGACACGGAUCUGACUGGAAACCCGGCAUCCGCAGGGACGUCACGGUGCUGCCGUCGGGGAUCGGAGGAAAUGCAGAGUUGAUGUGUGCUGAACGUUCCUUCGGACCCGCAGGCAACUGCUCUGUGAGGAAAAAAUCUUAGGUGAGUUUGCAAUCCAGUUAUGGCAAAUGUGCCUUGCAGUCACAGCACUGCCAGCCUGCUUCAGGACAACUUGAUCCACCGCUCCAGUCUGCCAAAGGAGUAAGAAAGGGGGACUUUGAAUGACCUGCUAUGCCUAAUUCUGUGCAGAGACUAGCUGACCUUCUGAUGUCCCUUUAAGAGCUGCAAAUCUAUGAUUUAUGUUAUCAUUUAUUUUAGAAACAUUAUUCUCAUUAUUAUAAUCUAUGAUUUAUAGCAACUUUAAUAUAUUAGAGCUGGGAGAAAAGUCAAAUUGCAGGUUCAACUUGAGAUAAUAUUUUUACUAUAAACUUAAUUUUCAGACUUUAAAAUACUUCAGCAAUCCACAUUUUCCGCUUUGCUCCGUAGACCAGUGUAAUUUGGGAGAGAAAUGAAAGGAUUUAGACAUCCUUUUGGGAAGCACAGUCUAUGCAGAGCUAAAUGCAAUUUUACAGAUGUUGCACAAGAGAUUUUGAGCAUGCUGAAGUACAGUUUCCCUUAAAUUAUUUUUUCGGUUCAUAUAUGUAUACAAUACUGUUAAAUAAUCCAAGGGUGACUAGAAAACAAGCUAAAUGAGGGGCUCAAGGUGUGAAAUCUUGUAUGAGCAGAGAGAAAGAUCGUUGCUGGUGCAAGCAACUUAGAGCCUCCUGGGACAGCAGACGGAGAGGCACGGGGCCUCCCCAUACCAAAUUUUAGUCGAAAUAUUUCAAGGCACACAAUCUUUCGUCUUUACCCUUGCUGGAAAUCCUCGGGUGAGGACUGUGAGUAGCCUGUGAGCUUCACCCAUGGAUUUGGGUGUUGUUUGGGGCGUAGGGCAAAACCUGGGCCACGUGGCCACCGCUCCGACGCCGAGACCAACAGUUGCUGCUUCGGCCCCCUCGACUUUAAUCGUUUUCUCAAAAACCCCAUGGAGAGAAAAGCCUUUUAGCGUUAACUUUUUCAAACAAAGCAUCUGCUAAGCGGUUCCCCGCGCGGCGCUUGGCUU
rnacentral:lncRNA from 1 species